CCAAGAUGUGUAUUUUGGUGUGAUGUUUGGUGCCUGAGGGUCGAGGCAUCAAGACAUUAUGUUUCAUGAAUGCCAAAUGCACGUGUUUGACACCCUGACAAUGGGACCACCUAGCAUAUCCAGGUGACUUGUGAAAGAAGGUGCGACCUGUAAAUUGCGAUACAAUUGAAAGAGCACAAGCUGGCACAGUCCACUUGAUGAGGAGAACAUGUGCAGAGCUGGUUGACAAACUUGAAUGUCAGAAUGGAAGCAAAGCCACAAAAAAAUGUAGGCUCAUUGAAAAGCCCAAGAAUAUAGCAGAGUGACUGUGAAGACCCUGUGAAGAAGUGUCU